GUGCCAGCCGCCGCGGUAAUACGUAGGGGGCUAGCGUUAUCCGGAAUUAUUGGGCGUAAAGGGUGCGUAGGCGGUCCUACAAGUCAGAGGUGAAAGGCUACGGCUCAACCGUAGUAAGCCUUUGAAACUGUAGGACUUGAGUGCAGGAGAGGAGAGUGGAAUUCCCAGUGUAGCGGUGAAAUGCGUAGAUAUUGGGAGGAACACCAGUUGCGAAGGCGGCUCUCUGGACUGUAACUGACGCUGAGGCACGAAAGCGUGGGGAGCGAACAGGAUUAGAUACCCCCGUAGUCC
rnacentral:rRNA from 1 species